rnacentral:rRNA from 1 species
GACGAACGCUGGCGGCGUGCUUAACACAUGCAAGUCGAACGCUGAAGCUCAGCUUUUGUUGGGUGGAUGAGUGGCGAACGGGUGAGUAACACGUGAGUAACCUGCCUCCUUCUUUGGGAUAACGCCCGGAAACGGGUGCUAAUACUGGAUAUUCACUGGUCUUCGCAUGGGGGCUGGUGGAAAGGGUUUUUCUGGUGGGGGAUGGGCUCGCGGCCUAUCUGCUUGUUGGUGGGGUGAUGGCCUACCCAGGCUUUGACGGGUAGCGGGCCUGAGAGGGUGAACGGGCACAUGGGGACGGAGAUAAGGCCCAGACUAGUACGGGGGGGAGAAGAGGGGAAGAUGGGCGAAUGGGUGAAAGAGUGAUGCAGCGACGCCGAGUAAGGGAUGGGGGCCGUCGGGUUGUGAACCUCUUUCGGUAAUGGUCAAGCCGAAACAAUGGUUGUGGUGAGGGUAGUGGGUAAAGAAGCGCCGGCUAACUACGUG